rnacentral:lncRNA from 1 species
GGGCCCAGAGAAGGGCAUGUUUGGAGCCUGGCUGUGUCACCUUGGAAACUUGGGGCACGUGUGGAGUGUGAGUGAGUGAGCUGCUGGAAUGAACUGACCAGACAGGACAUCAUCUAUGUAUGGGAUUAGAAUGGAAUUACAGGAGAAAACCAAAUCCCUCAAAUUAGCAUUCAGGAUCGGAAAAAAAAGGCCCAUGCUCUUAGACCACCACCAAGACCUUGUCUUGUCCUGCACCGAGCAACCUCCGUGUCACCCUGCUCCACCUGCUCCAUGAAGCCGCACCCUCCAGAGAGGACCCUUCCCCUUUCCACCCUUCGCGGACCACUCAAUGAGCUACCCUGCACCUGACCCCUUCUGUCCAAGUCAUCACAGUAUUCCCAGAGCUGGAACAGUCAAUGCCUGGCACAUCGUGGGCACUCAACAUGUUGAAUCAAUGGUUACAAAUACAUGAAUGUACUUGUUGAAUAAAUGGUUAUAAAUAAAUGAAUGAAUGAUCCCCCCCCUUAAAAAAAAAAAAAAAAA